rnacentral:rRNA from 1 species
GACGAACGCUGGCGGCGUGCUUAACACAUGCAAGUCUAACGGAAAGGCCCUGCUUUUGUGGGGUGCUCGAGUGGCGAACGGGUGAGUAACACGUGAGUAACCUGCCCUUGACUUUGGGAUAACUUCAGGAAACUGGGGCUAAUACCGGAUAGGAGCUCCUGCUGCAUGGUGGGGGUUGGAAAGUUUCGGCGGUUGGGGAUGGACUCGCGGCUUAUCAGCUUGUUGGUGGGGUAGUGGCUUACCAAGGCUUUGACGGGUAGCCGGCCUGAGAGGGUGACCGGCCACAUUGGGACUGAGAUACGGCCCAGACUCCUACGGGAGGCAGCAGUGGGGAAUAUUGCACAAUGGGCGGAAGCCUGAUGCAGCAACGCCGCGUGCGGGAUGACGGCCUUCGGGUUGUAAACCGCUUUCGCCUGUGACGAAGCGUGAGUGACGGUAAUGGGUAAAGAAGCACCGGCUAACUACGUGCCAGCAGCCGCGGUGAUACGUAGGGUGCGAGCGUUGUCCGGAUUUAUUGGGCGUAAAGGGCUCGUAGGUGGUUGAUCGCGUCGGAAGUGUAAUCUUGGGGCUUAACCCUGAGCGUGCUUUCGAUACGGGUUGACUUGAGGAAGGUAGGGGAGAAUGGAAUUCCUGGUGGAGCGGUGGAAUGCGCAGAUAUCAGGAGGAACACCAGUGGCGAAGGCGGUUCUCUGGGCCUUUCCUGACGCUGAGGAGCGAAAGCGUGGGGAGCGAACAGGCUUAGAUACCCUGGUAGUCCACGCUGUAAACGGUGGGUACUAGGUGUGGGGUCCAUUCCACGGGUUCCGUGCCGUAGCUAACGCUUUAAGUACCCCGCCUGGGGAGUACGGCCGCAAGGCUAAAACUCAAAGGAAUUGACGGGGCCCCGCACAAGCGGCGGAGCAUGCGGAUUAAUUCGAUGCAACGCGUAGAACUUUACCUGGGUUUGACAUGGAUCGGGAGUGCUCAGAGAUGGGUGUGCCUCUUUUGGGGUCGGUUCACAGGUGGUGCAUGCCUGUCGUCAGCUCGUGUCGUGAGAUGUUGGGUUAAGUCCCGCAACGAGCGCAACCCUUGUUCACUGUUGCCAGCACGUUAUGGUGGGGACUCAGUGGAGACCGCCGGGGUCAACUCGGAGGAAGGUGGGGAUGACGUCAAGUCCUCAUGCCCCUUAUGUCCAGGGCUUCACGCAUGCUACAAUGGCUGGUACAGAGAGUGGCGAGCCUGUGAGGGUGAGCGAAUCUCGGAAAGCCGGUCUCAGUUCGGAUUGGGGUCUGCAACUCGACCUCAUGAAGUCGGAGUCGCUAGUAAUCGCAGAUCAGCAACGCUGCGGUGAAUACGUUCCCGGG